UACGAAGGGGGCAAGCGUUGUUCGGAAUUACUGGGCGUAAAGCGCGUGUAGGCGGCAGCGUGUGUCGGGCGUGAAAUCCCACGGCUCAACCGUGGAAGUGCACUCGAAACUGCGCAGCUAGAGUCCUGGAGCAGGAAGGUGGAAUGCUUGGUGUAGAGGUGAAAUUCGUAGAUAUCAAGCGGAACACCGGUGGCGAAGGCGGCCUUCUGGA
rnacentral:rRNA from 1 species